UCCUAGUUGAAGUUUUAUUCCUUUUGCACCAAUGUGAAAAGCUGAAAUGAUGUGUUGCACUUAAGACCAUGCAAUAGGAAGCUGUAAAUGAAGACAGAUAAAGUGUCGCCAGGUACGGGCACAGCAGGAGUGAGGACUUUUAAAACACACUAGUGAACACAAAAGCCUUGCCUUUUCACUUGUAGAUUGAUAGUUCGUCUUCUUUCUGUUAACAGAGCAGGAAAGGAAUAUCAGUUAAAUAGCGACUUUUCUGGUGCUGGGUUUACCCCUUUGGGAGCCUGAUAUAUGAAUACAUUUUUCCAGAUUUCCAGCAAUCCUCAGGGAUUUUUUUCCCCUCCUCUUAGAAAAAAACUUAAAAUAACAAAUCCAUUGAAUGCUUUUAGAUAUCAGUCAUUAUCUCAUAAACCACUGCCAAACACCUUCUCUAGCUCGUCUUUCCACGUCUUCCAGUUACACUUUUUGUCUAGCUCAUGGCCAGAACUAAAAUAGCUUGAGGGAUUCUGACUAACUAUUACGAAAUUUGAGUGAAAUAAAUCCAUAUCAAAGUAAUAGACCAGGCACUGUCAGAAAGUUUCUACCAGUUAUAUUUUUACAGAACACUUUCUGAAAUGACUUGUAGAUAUGGAUAUGAGAGCUGUUCAGUUUGGUUCUGAUUGUCUUUUGUCCAGUUUGAAGAGGAGACACAUGAACAGCUGAGUUAGAAGUGUAAGCUGUAACUGUGUAAAAAGACACAUCUCUGUGUAUUUACCACAGUAAUGUAAUGAUUCACUUUCUGACCAGCACACUGGUUUCUAUUAAGGAAACCAGAUAGUGUGUAGAAUCAGGUUUAUCUCAGUGUCAAGAAAGCUAUUGCACAAAAAUCAUGUUAGAAAGGCUGUAAAAAUCAUUAUAGUUACUAAAUCAUCUGAAAUGUAAAUGAGGUUUGCAGUGAUUUAUGUACUACUUGCAUACUUACUGGGAAGAACUUU